CGGUACGAUUCAUAAUUUGGCUUCUCACAUACGCUUGAAAACACAAAACCCUAACUCUAACUCUCUCUGGUGAACAAGAAUCCUCUGCGUCUCUCUCUCAGUACCAUCGGCGACAACCUUCAAUCGGAUCUUUCAAUCAUCAUUCUAUCGAAAUUGACGGAUAAUCCAUUGAGUUUAAGGGUGUUCAAGAUCUUGAUGUUAACCCAGUACGAAACAAGGCACUUACAAAUAUAAGAUCUGCUGGAAAUGAUGAGAAUGUGAAGCUAUCACCACCUUGCAGAAUGACACUUGAAGAAGCUAUUGGAUAUGUGGCAUCUGAUGAGC